UACGUAGGUGGCAAGCGUUGUCCGGAUUUACUGGGUGUAAAGGGCGUGUAGGCGGAGAUACAAGUCAGGAGUGAAAUCUGGGGGCUCAACCCCCAAACUGCUUUUGAAACUGUAUCCCUUGAGUAUCGGAGAGGCAGGCGGAAUUCCUAGUGUAGCGGUGAAAUGCGUAGAUAUUAGGAAGAACACCAGUGGCGAAGGCGGCCUGCUGGACGACAACUGACGCUGAGGCGCGAAAGCGUGGGGAGCAAACAGG
rnacentral:misc_RNA from 1 species